GUGAGGAAUAUUGGACAAUGGGCGCAAGCCUGAUCCAGCCAUGCCGCGUGCAGGAAGACGCAUCUAUGGUGUGUAUACUGCUUUUGUACGGGAAGAAACACUCCCUAGUGAGGGAGCUUGACGGUACCGUAAGAAUAAGGAUCGGCUAACUCCGUGCCAGCAGCCGCGGUAAUACGGAGGAUCCAAGCGUUAUCCGGAAUCAUUGGGUUUAAAGGGUCCGUAGGCGGUUUAAUAAGUCAGUGGUGAAAGCCCAUCGCUCAACGAUGGAACGGCCAUUGAUACUGUUAGACUUGAAUUACAAGGAAGUAACUAGAAUAUGUAGUGUAGCGGUGAAAUGCUUAGAUAUUACAUGGAAUACCAAUUGCGAAGGCAGGUUACUACUUGUGGAUUGACGCUGAUGGACGAAAGCGUGGGGAGCGAACAGGAUUAGAAACCCGUGUAGUCC
rnacentral:rRNA from 1 species